CCUACGGGUGGCAGCAGUGAGGAAUAUUGGUCAAUGGACGAGAGUCUGAACCAGCCAAGUAGCGUGAAGGAUGACUGCCCUAUGGGUUGUAAACUUCUUUUAUAUGGGAAUAAAACGUUCCACGUGUGGGAUUUUGUAUGUACCAUAUGAAUAAGGAUCGGCUAACUCCGUGCCAGCAGCCGCGGUAAUACGGAGGAUCCGAGCGUUAUCCGGAUUUAUUGGGUUUAAAGGGAGCGUAGGUGGAUUGUUAAGUCAGUUGUGAAAGUUUGCGGCUCAACCGUAAAAUUGCAGUUGAAACUGGCAGUCUUGAGUACAGUAGAGGUGAGCGGAAUUCGAGGUGUAGCGGUGAAAUGCUUAGAUAUCACGAAGAACUCCGAUUGCGAAGGCAGUUCACUGGACUGCAACUGACACUGAGGCUCGAAAGUGUGGGUAUCAAACAGGAUUAGAUACCCUUGUAGUC
rnacentral:rRNA from 1 species